ensembl:snoRNA SNORA72 Small nucleolar RNA SNORA72
CAGUGAAUAUUCCCGCUACUCUUAAUUUGGAAUAAUUGGGACAGGCUAAACAUUUGCUAUAUAAAAACAUGCACGUGUCCACAGACUUAGUGCUUUCCCUAGGUUUGGUUUUAUAAAUGCUGGUGAUAAGC